AUUUUUGUAGUUGAAACGCAACAAUGGUCUUUCAUGCCAUAGGUUAUGGUUAAAAUCCAUGCUAAAAUA
rfam:Monodelphis domestica chromosome 1, whole genome shotgun sequence.